rnacentral:rRNA from 1 species
CCGUGUGAACAUAUCUCUUUGUUGCCUCGGCGCAAGCUACCCGGGACCUCGCGCCCCGGGCGGCCCGCCGGCGGACAAACCAAACUCUGUUAUCUUCGUUGAUUAUCUGAGUGUCUUAUUUAAUAAGUCAAAACUUUCAACAACGGAUCUCUUGGUUCUGGCAUCGAUGAAGAACGCAGCGAAAUGCGAUAAGUAAUGUGAAUUGCAGAAUUCAGUGAAUCAUCGAAUCUUUGAACGCACAUUGCGCCCAUUAGUAUUCUAGUGGGCAUGCCUGUUCGAGCGUCAUUUCAACCCCUAAGCACAGCUUAUUGUUGGGCGUCUACGUCUGUAGUGCCUCAAAGACAUUGGCGGAGCGGCAGCAGUCCUCUGAGCGUAGUAAUUCUUUAUCUCGCUUCUGUUAGGCGCUGCCCCCCCGGCCGUAAAACCCCCAAUUUUUUCUGGUUGACCUCGGAUCAGGUAGGAAUACCCGCUGAACUUAAGCAUAUCAAUAAGCGGAGGAAA